rnacentral:rRNA from 1 species
AACGAACGCUGGCGGCAUGCCUAACACAUGCAAGUCGAACGAGACCUUCGGGUCUAGUGGCGCACGGGUGCGUAACGCGUGGGAACCUGCCCUUAGGUUCGGAAUAACUCCCCGUAAGGGGUGCUAAUACCGGUUAAUGUCUUCGGACCAAAGAUUUAUCGCCUUUGGGUGGGCCCGCGUUGGUUUAGCUAGUUGGUAGGGUAAAAGCCUACCAAGGAGACGAUCCAUAGCUGGUCUGAGAGGAUGCUCAGCCACGAUGGGAAUGCGACACGGACCAGACUCCUACGGGAGGCAGCAGUGGGGAAUAUUGGACGAUGGGCGAAAGCCUGAUCCAGCAAUGCCGCGUGAGUGAUGAAGGCCUUAGGGUUGUAAAGCUCUUUUACCCGGGAUGAUAAUGACAGUACCGGGAGAAUAAGCUCCGGCUAACUCCGUG